rnacentral:rRNA from 1 species
GACGAACGCUGGCGGCGUGCUUAACACAUGCAAGUCGAGCGGUAAGGCCCCUUCGGGGGUACACGAGCGGCGAACGGGUGAGUAACACGUGAGCAAUCUGCCCUUCACACGGGGAUAACUCCGGGAAACCGAAGCUAAUACCCGAUACGACCACCUCAGGCAUCUGAUGGUGGUGGAAAGUUCCGGCGGUGAAGGAUGAGCUCGCGGCCUAUCAGCUUGUUGGUGGGGUAACGGCCCACCAAGGCAACGACGGGUAGCCGGCCUGAGCGGGUGACCGGCCACACUGGGACUGAGACACGGCCCCGACUCCUACGGGAGGCAGCAGUGGGGAAUCUUGCGCAAUGGGCGAAAGCCUGACGCAGCGACGCCGCGUGGGGGACGAAGGCCCUCGGGUUGUAAACCCCUUUCGGCAGGGACGAAGCGAUCGUGACGGUACCUGCAGAAGAAGCCUCGGCUAACUACGUGCCAGCCGCCGCGGUAAUAC